GACGAACGCUGGCGGCGUGCUUAACACAUGCAAGUCGAACGGAAAGGCUCUUCCUUGCUGGGGUACUCGAGUGGCGAACGGGUGAGUAACACGUGAGUAAUCUGCCCUUGACUUUGGGAUAACUUCGGGAAACUGGGUCUAAUACCGGAUAGGAGCUUCUUCUGCAUGGUGGGGUGUGGAGAGUUUCGGCGGGUGGGGAUGGACUCGCGGCUUAUCAUCUUGUUGGUGGGGUAGUGUCUUACCAAGGCGUUGACGGGUAGCCGGCCUGGGGGGGAGACCGGCAAAAUGGGGACUGAGAAACGGCCAGGACUCCUACGGGAGGAAGAAGGGGGGAAAAUUGAAAAAUGGGCGGAAGCCUGAUGAAGCAAGGCGGCGUGCGGGAUAACGGCCUUCGGGUUGUAAACCCCUUUCGCAGGGGACGAAGCGUGAGUGACGGUAAUGGGUAAAGAAGCACCGGCUAACUACGUG
rnacentral:rRNA from 1 species